GAAAAACAUAUGAUGGGUUGGCGCACAGAAAUGUCAUAUUCCAAUCACGACAUGAGAAAUGGUUGGAUUGCCUGUCCUACUAGGAGAUUCUCGACUGACAUUUUAUCGUGUUAUUGUGUCCACGCUAUUUAGUUCCUCCUGGAGCCUUCCGAAUUUCACAUGUACUGCUUCAAUCAGCUCCUGCAGAGUGGAUAACUACCUAGGGAUCCAGGCCUUACUGGAGAGCAGCCAAUCAUGAACAGGGGGCAGACUGGCCUUGGGUUCUCCCAUCACCCCUGCCUUUUAAUAAUUUUAAUUGAUUUUUUUUUUUUUUUGCAUUUCAAAGUAUAGGUAUUCAUUAUAGCAAGUUAUUGGAAAAUAAAAAGGCAGUGAGUUUUUCUUAAUAUAUAUCAUUAUCUAAAAUGGAGUUUUUUUUUUUUAAAAGGGGAGGGGUUAUGUAGAAGAACCUUCUUGCUGGAUUUUCUUUUCUUAUCUUUCUAUAAACUGGGAUAUCUUUGUUUUCUAGUACACAUUUUUGUAAUAUUAACCUAUUUGUGUAGAUGUGAAAAAGCAGUUUGAAAACUGUUUUAUAUUUGUAUAAAAUGUGCCUUAAUGGUAUCUUGGGGAAGAAGGCUGGAUGAGAACCUUAGGUUUAAGUAAGGAAGUAUGGGAGGGAUUUGCCUAAGGAGUUUUAAAUUAGAUGUAAAAUUGGGAAUUUAUCCUGUAUAUCAUAAUGGCAUAAAGGUCCAACUACUAUUAAUUUAAAAAGAAAAACGUGAUUCUAGCAGAAUCUUGACUAAAUGAUUUUUAAUUUUAAAGAAUUUUAAAAACUGUUUUAGAAUAACACCACAAAUUGGGACUACUUUUACAGAUGUGCGUACUUAUGUUAAAAUUAAGUUCAGUGUUGGCAGUUAGAUAUUAGAGGGAAGUAAUAAAGGAAAAAAUGUUCUAUUUUAAUUAAAUAUUUAUAAUAUACGGAACUGAAAGUGACUUUAAUAUUAUUUAAAUUAAUGUGGCAAAAUUUCAGUGUAAUAUGGAGAAAAAGACCUAUUUUAUAAACUUGUAAGAAUAAAUACGUAUUUUAAAUGCUGAA